UACAGAGGGUGCGAGCGUUGUCCGGAAUCACUGGGCGUAAAGGGCGCGUAGGCGGCGUGACAAGUCACUUGUGAAAUCUCCGGGCUUAACUCGGAACGGUCAAGUGAUACUGUUGUGCUAGAGUACAGAAGGGGCAAUCGGAAUUCUUGGUGUAGCGGUGAAAUGCGUAGAUAUCAAGAGGAACACCAGAGGCGAAGGCGGAUUGCUGGGCUGAUACUGACGCUGGAGGCGCGAAAGCUAGGGUAGCAAACGGG
rnacentral:rRNA from 1 species